rnacentral:rRNA from 1 species
AUGGAGGGCAAACCAGCGAGUACGGAGACGCAAACGCCCAUGCGUCCGGACGGUGCCGACGAGGAGAUGGCUCAUGAGGCGGAGAGAUUCGCUACGUACAUAGUUACUGGGACUGCGUUGAGUUCCAUGCAAUAUACACACUACACCCCCGGACGCAUCCCAACCAAUAGUGCCGGGUCAACCCCGGAGACCUUGCAGAUCUUCUCCAUCAAGCUCCCGGAAAUAGCUGGUGGCCUUAAGUGGCCAUUGUCUGUGUAUGGCGUGGUUGCUGCCCGUGACAUCGUGGAUCACAACCGCAACAUUCUCUUCUCCUGCAUUAGGAGCCAGGCCCAGGAAUUGAAACAUGAUGAUCCUUUUUUGCGAUUGACUGGGCCAACCCGUGCAAUUGUGUGUUCGGACACGGUCGAAUUUGAAAUCCAACUGAAAGUAAAAGGUACAACACAGUCUCAAGAUGAAGCAUUGAUCAGAUGUGCACGCGAUUGCAAUGGAGGAUUUGGUCAUGGUGUAUCUACAGUUUGCUAUAAGAACUCUCGCUGCACACUUGAGUUAUGUUUGCAGCGAGUUGCUCAAACGGUCCAGGCCACUAUCUUGGGUAUCCAAGUUGUGAAAGGGUCAUGGCCUUUUGAAUAUGGUGCACGAGUUGCUUGCUCCUCGCUAUCAGAUGGAGCAAAACUGAAAGGUUUUGAUGGUUACCUGCAUGUGUGGAGGCAAGUUGUCUCUGUAGGAACCAGAGGAGAAUUGGGCGUUGAGAUACAAGCCUACUCCAAAUCUGGCGAUAUCGCUACAUGGGGUCAUGUUAGUUUCAUGACCAAAUUUUGCAACAUAAGUCAGGAGAAAUGUUCCCUUGAUGGCGCUGAGGUGUUGAUUACUGUUGCUUGGUCCCUAGUCCCUACGGAAAGAUUGUGUGCCAGUGCUACUCCACCUCUAUUCAAAGUGAACUGCAUUGGCGACAACCGUAUAGGAUUACCCGACCGACCCCGCGUCGCUCUUGUAGGAGCGAAUCGGGGGGUGGGGGGUCAUUGGCCAUCGCCGGCGCUCUCUCCCGCUCCCCUUUCACUCGUCGCCAUCGCCUCGCCACAGGACCGCCGGUGA